AGUGAACGCUGGCGGCAGGCCUAACACAUGCAAGUCGAACGGCAGCACAGUAAGAGCUUGCUCUUACGGGUGGCGAGUGGCGGACGGGUGAGGGAUACAUCGGAAUCUACUUUUUCGAGGGGGAUAACGUAGGGACACUUACGCUAAUACCGCAUACGACCUACGGGUGAAAGCAGGGGAUCUUCGGACCUCGCGCGAUUGAAUGAGCCGAUGUCGGAUUAGCUAGUUGGCGGGGUAAAGGCCCACCAAGGCGACGAUCCGUAGCUGGUCUGAGAGGAUGAUCAGCCACACUGGAACUGAGACACGGUCCAGACUCCUACGGGAGGCAGCAGUGGGGAAUAUUGGACAAUGGGCGCAAGCCUGAUCCAGCCAUACCGCGUGGGUGAAGAAGGCCUUCGGGUUGUAAAGCCCUUUUGUUGGGAAGGAAAAGCAGCAGGUUAAUACCCCGCUGUUCUGACGGUACCCAAAGAAUAAGCACCGGCUAACUUCGUG
rnacentral:rRNA from 1 species